rnacentral:lncRNA from 1 species
CUUAAGGCAAUAAAGGGAGACCACAGGCUUUUAUUACAAUUCUGACAUGCACCAGAACAUACUUCAGGACGUUAAAUAAACUGGGCUCUGUGUCACCAGGCUUAGCUGUUUUAUGUUGUUUCUUCUCUUGCUACCCCAAUACUUUGCCAAAAUGAUCAGGCCUUAGCUGCUUGUUAUCCCUUCUGCAAACAUGGACUGCCUUUAUCACUUGCUUCAUCGUGGGCAUUUGCAGUGAAAAUACAUAAUCACUGUCAGAGUACAAAGAAUCAUUACGAAUAAUUAGUUACUUCCAAUAUGGCAAGUCAGUCUCAUAAAUCUUGAAUAUUUGGCUUUGGUUUUGGAAAGAGAAUCCUUAAUGGCUACACUUGUGAGACUCUGUUAAUUGAUAUAAAAUUGUAUUCAAAAUUAAAUUUGUUUUAACAGAUCUAAAUCACCCCAAUAAAUCAGCUCCAGCCUAUCUGCUUCAAAAGGUUCAAGUACACUUUUUUGCCUUAGGGAGAAAGCGUGUGCUUGCAAUCAGUGCACGGAUGGCUGGACCUGACCCUCCCCUCCUUUGCUAACUGCUUCCAUAUGCUGACACCAGGGUGAAGUUGCUGGCCUGAGAAAGCAUAAAAUGGGGGGGGGGGGGGGGGGAGGUUUGUCUGCAAAGCAGCCCCUUCUGGGGCAGCUGUAGGAGCUCCGGUGCCCGCAGCCUUUCUGCCGUAAGGACGGAGCUGGCUGCCUGAAUUCCAAGGACUUAAGGAAUUAAAGGAUGGAGGGGGAAUUUUAGAAGGGAGAUUCCUUCUUGCCUACUUCAUCUCAGUAGAGCCUUCCCCACCCUUCUACCGAAGCUGCUGUGUGUAUUUGUGCCUGUCUGCCCUCCCGGGUUCCAGCUGCAGGACUUGUUCCAUGGGGCCACCUUGCCUCCUGCCUGCAGCCCUUUGGGGUUUGAUGCUCUCUGCCUGGGGAUUUGCAUAGGCAUGGGUCAGAUUUCAGGAGGCUGUGAGCACUGCAGCGAAUGCGCUGCCUUGCUUCCUAGGGGUAAAGUCUAGGGGAAAAAGAAGCAAGCCUGCAGCGCAGUGUUCAGUAGCUAAGUACUAUGUCUUGCUUGACUAGGUAUGCCUAAAUCCUGUUGGGCUCAGUGAUCUAUUUAAUGACUCUUUUACUUGCUUUUAGGAUGCUGCUGCUGUACAGCCGUCCUCUGCAGCACACAACGUGUAAUGUGUAGGUGGCAUUUAUUGGUGGAUAAAAGUUAAAAUCAACUCAGCUUUAUUAGGGGCAGCCGUUACAGCUGCUGGGAAUCCUCCCUGGGUAGAAGCUGUCUCUUUUUACAAGUGCGUUACAGGUUGUGCUCAUUUUACUAUUUGCGUUUGUUUAAAAUAGAGUUUAUUUUUAAUCUGUUUAUAAUAUCAAUCAUCAAAUAGUCUAAGAAAAACGUUCCCUUAAAGAAACA